AUUUAAAUAUUAAUAACACUUCAACACUAAAGGAUGUUAAACUGCUGGCCAUUUCACUUCAACAAGGCUUGAAUGCAUUUAGAAAUACAAAGAAACUGGCUUUGGGAAAUUAACUUCUUGUUAAAGUAUAACGCUAGUACGUUAACGUACCAGUGUUUAUAACAGCAGUUCAUAACUGUGGCAAACAAGCCUGCCACAGGCCACCGAAGUGGCUUUCCUAGGGGCCCUCCAGCACAGAGACACAGGGAGAUGAUGUUCAAAUAGUCCACAUUUAUUUACAAGGGUUUGGCAAGAUGUUACAGCCAAGUGAGCCGAUCUAAAACACUGUCAUGACAGAGAGGCUCCCCCAUGUGAGUGGGGAUGGCAGAUUUAACCUGAUCACCUCACUACGCACAGGUGCAGCCACUCCUGCUCCUGGGUCCAAUUAGCCUGGCCAGUUAUAUAAUUCUUAACCAAUUAUCCAAUUGGCCAGGUCUAAUUAGCUUGACCCAGGGUAAGUGUGGCUGCUUAAACCAGCCAUCCCCACACCACAAUAACCCACUCAAGGAAAACUCACCGUUUGUUAUUUGAUUUUCUGAAUUGUUAUCUGCUAUCUUAAUUUGCUAUGAAAGAGUUAUCUUGGUCCUCUUCGUGAAUUUAACCUGCAUAUGGACAAUAGCGAUUGAAGAGGAUUGUAUUUAUAUUUUACAAUCCUUUUUAAUCUUGUCUGAAAUCAGACUGGAGUUAAACCUUCUGAGACUGCGACCCUCCAGGAUUGGAGUUAAACCUGCAGACACUACAGCCCUCCAGGACCGCAUUCAGUUCUUUGUAGGAAUACGCUCAUCACAAAUGGACAUAAAUUUCUAUGAAAGUAGCCCCAUACAGAGGCAACAUCUAGGUUACAAACAAACAUGAGAAUGGCCUCAUGUUCCCAGCAUGCUCUCAAACACAGAGCCUACACAAAGGCGAUAUUAAGAGUACCAACUAGUGUAACUCAAUUAAUAAUAAAAUGUUUCUAUAAUGAGGUCGUGAUAGCAUGAAUUAUGCACAGGCACUAUCCCCAGAAUAAUUCAAGUAUGGGGGGGCCUUGAUAGUUCUUUAACACCAUCUUGUCAGUUAACCUUGCAGAUGAUUGAUACAUUCAAAGAGAAUCACUCUGUGAAGGAAAUAAACAGAAUGCCAGUAACCAUGAAAAGCACGGCGAUGUGAUCCUUUUUAUUUUCUACUUUAUGCAGCAAUGAGGUCAAACAAAUAAGCCUGACACCCA